rnacentral:rRNA from 1 species
GUUGGCUUAGAAGCAGCCAUCAUUUAAAGAAAGCGUAAUAGCUCACUGGUCGAGUCGGCCCGCGCGGAAGAUGUAACGGGGCUAAACCAUGCACCGAAGCUGCGGCAGCGACACAUAGUGUUGUUGGGUAGGGGAGCGUUCUGUAAGCCUGCGAAGGUGUACUGUGAGGUAUGCUGGAGGUAUCAGAAGUGCGAAUGCUGACAUAAGUAACGAUAAUGCGGGUGAAAAACCCG